CAAUCCAUGAGUAAAGUGGCGCACGGGUGAGUAACACGUGACUAACCUACCCUUGAGUGGGGGAUAACCUAGAGAAAUCUGGGCUAAUACCGCAUAAUACCUUCGGGUCAAAGGAGCAAUUCGCUUUAGGAGGGGGUCGCGGCCGAUUAGUUAGUUGGCGGGGUAAUGGCCCACCAAGACUGUGAUCGGUAUCCGGCCUGAGAGGGCGCACGGACACACUGGAACUGAAACACGGUCCAGACUCCUACGGGAGGCAGCAGUGGGGAAUUUUGCGCAAUGGGGGAAACCCUGACGCAGCAACGCCGCGUGGAGGAUGAAGCCCCUUGGGGCGUAAACUCCUUUCGAUCGGGAAGAUAAUGAUGGUACCGAGAGAAGAAGCCCCGGCUAACUUCGUGCCAGCAGCCGCGGUAAU
rnacentral:rRNA from 1 species